rnacentral:lncRNA from 1 species
CUUCAUCAAGCAUAAAAUUUUGUGUUCCAUAUGAGAAUGUUACCAAAAUAGUUUCUUCAUUUCAUAAUAGUUUCUCAAUUUCGAGCUUUUCUCUAUUACAGAAAGUUUCCAAUGAUCGUAUACAUAUACAUAAUCCUCAUCAUUUGGUUCAAGAGAUCUCAGUCAACAACGGCACGUCAGCAGGCCUUAAAAUACCAGAACCGUCUGACAAAAUGUUCGAUGACGUUUGAGUGUGGGUCGGAUAUAUACAUAUAUUGUGAUGUCCUAUGACUUUGAGUUCAGUUUGGCUAUAAAAAGAAGUAUAUGAAUGCAGACACAAAUUUAUUAUCAACACAAUUUGGAAAAGUCAUAUGAAUCUUGGCAAUGAAUUUCCAAACCCCACUGUGAAAAUCCCGCACUUGAAUACACAUUUCCACUUUUUAUACAUUACUCUGAUUCUCCAUUUAACACUCUACGAGCCUCUAGGCCUGAACUAGGGUACAUUUUGAUUUAAGUUGGACAAAGUUACUGAAUUCGGCGGACACCAAUACACUCGGGUCGGACAAAUAAUAAACCUCAGUCUCAGAUCCACUUAGGUCAGACAGAAUGUCCAGUGGCACUGCCAGUGCUCCCCUCUCUACGUCGGACAAUGUCGGUGACCGACCGAUAUUUUAAGAUCUGCACGUCACUCGUCAGUGCUCUACAUGGCCACUUGGCACUUCAUUUUAUAGGUUAUGCCGCCACGAUGUCAGUCAGCUCAAUUAUGGAGCGACUAAAAAUUAAUAUGUCACUUUCUUUCUUCGUCCUACGCUAAUAGUAAAUGUGCUCAGUUUGUGUCCAGAUAAACAUCAGAAGACAUGCUAAUUUUCUUCAAGAAGCUUUUAUUUCUCCAUGGCCAGAUAAAGCCGCCUCGUUGAGGAGUGUCAUAAAAAUCAUUGCCGGUUAAACAAGUUUGACAUGGAAAUUAGGAAAUACCUUACCGCUCACUUAAUUAAUAAAAAGAGAGAAUUACUUUGAUAUUUUAAUUUGGAUAGCAAAGGGUAAUUAUAUGCAGCUAGGAGAAUACUCCCAUGCCAAUAAACGGGGGAGGGGGCGUCUCCCCCCCCCCUUCCUAGAAUUGGCGUUCCCGAUCUUAGGCUCAAGUAGGACUAUUCUACACAGUCUGACACAGUCAUAUUAUGGACAAUUGAUGAUUUUGAAUUGAGUAAGUAAGAUGUCAAUAUCAACUCAUUCUAGAUUCUCCCAUGACUACAAGCCCUACAGCAAUACCCCGG